AUACGAAGGGGGCUAGCGUUGUUCGGAAUUACUGGGCGUAAAGCGCGCGUAGGCGGAUUGGUCAGUUAGGGGUGAAAUCCCAGGGCUUAACCCUGGAACUGCCUCUAAUACUGCCAGUCUUGAGUUCGAGAGAGGUGAGUGGAAUUCCUAGUGUAGAGGUGAAAUUCGUAGAUAUUAGGAAGAACACCAGUGGCGAAGGCGGCUCACUGGCCCGAUACUGACGCUGAGGCGCGAAAGCGUGGGGAGCAAACAGAAUUAGAUACCCUAGUAGUCC
rnacentral:rRNA from 1 species